GCACUCCUGACAAGUCCCAAACAGGACGAAAUAGCUGUCCAGUGC
rnacentral:hammerhead_ribozyme from 1 species